UCAGAACGUCGUGAGACAGUUCGGUCCCUAUCUGCCGUGGGUGUAGGAAUAUUGACAGGAUCUGUCCCUAGUACGAGAGGACCGGGAUGGACGUAUCUCUGGUGGACCUGUUGUCGCGCCAGCGGCAUAGCAGGGUAGCUAUAUACGGACGGGAUAACCGCUGAAGGCAUCUAAGCGGGAAACCCACCUGAAAACGAGUAUUCCCUGAGAGUCGUGGGAGACCACCACGUUGAUAGGCCGGGUGUGGAAGCGCAGCAAUGUGUGAAGCUUACCGGUACUAAUAGCUCGAUCGGCUUGAUUG
rnacentral:rRNA from 1 species